rfam:Schistosoma haematobium scaffold561_2, whole genome shotgun sequence.
AUCCAGUCGACGAGUCCCGAAUAGGACGAAACUCGUGUUCUGGAU